rnacentral:lncRNA from 1 species
GUUGGUUGUGAUAUUUCCGUCUCUAGAUAUGACUUGGGUCCCUCCGUGAAUCCAACCAAAACACUGGUGACACACCAAAGCCCUUCUUCCAUGAAAUGUCAAAGAGGAAUGUCUACUAGAAGUGCAAUAUUAUAGCUGUGCUCACACAGAGAUGUAAUGCGCUGAAAAGCUGAUCUUUGACCUUUUGAGAUUUACAGCUUGAGAAAACCGAUGAGGUGAUAAACGCAUGAGGGAUAAAUCAAGACAAAUAUUGAAAAUAUGUUUUUGG